UGGGCCUAAUAUGUAUAUAAUUGGUGUAUAAGAGGUCAGACUGGGCCUAAUAUGUAUAUAAUUGGUGUAUAAGAGGUCAGACUGGGCCUAAUAUGUAUAUAAUUGGUGUAUAAGAGGUCAGACUGGGCCUAAUAUGUAUAUAAUUGGUGUAUAAGAGGUCAGACUGGGCCUAAUAUGUAUAUAAUUGGUGUAUAAGAGGUCAGACUGGGCCUAAUAUGUAUAUAAUUGGUGUAUAAGAGGUCAGACUGGGCCUAAUAUGUAUAUAAUUGGUGUAUAAGAGGUCAGACUGGGCCUAAUAUGUAUAUAAUUGGUGUAUAAGAGGUCAGACUGGGCCUAAUAUGUAUAUAAUUGGUGUAUAAGAGGUCAGACUGGGCCUAAUAUGUAUAUAAUUGGUGUAUAAGAGGUCAGACUGGGCCUAAUAUGUAUAUAAUUGGUGUAUAAGAGGUCAGACUGGGCCUAAUAUGUAUAUAAUUGGUGUAUAAGAGGUCAGACUGGGCCUAAUAUGUAUAUAAUUGGUGUAUAAGAGGUCAGACUGGGCCUAAUAUGUAUAUAAUUGGUGUAUAAGAGGUCAGACUGGGCCUAAUAUGUAUAUAAUUGGUGUAUAAGAGGUCAGACUGGGCCUAAUAUGUAUAUAAUUGGUGUAUAAGAGGUCAGACUGGGCCUAAUAUGUAUAUAAUUGGUGUAUAAGAGGUCAGACUGGGCCUAAUAUGUAUAUAAUUGGUGUAUAAGAGGUCAGACUGGGCCUAAUAUGUAUAUAAUUGGUGUAUAAGAGGUCAGACUGGGCCUAAUAUGUAUAUAAUUGGUGUAUAAGAGGUCAGACUGGGCCUAAUAUGUAUAUAAUUGGUGUAUAAGAGGUCAGACUGGGCCUAAUAUGUAUAUAAUUGGUGUAUAAGAGGUCAGACUGGGCCUAAUAUGUAUAUAAUUGGUGUAUAAGAGGUCAGACUGGGCCUAAUAUGUAUAUAAUUGGUGUAUAAGAGGUCAGACUGGGCCUAAUAUGUAUAUAAUUGGUGUAUAAGAGGUCAGACUGGGCCUAAUAUGUAUAUAAUUGGUGUAUAAGAGGUCAGACUGGGCCUAAUAUGUAUAUAAUUGGUGUAUAAGAGGUCAGACUGGGCCUAAUAUGUAUAUAAUUGGUGUAUAAGAGGUCAGACUGGGCCUAAUAUGUAUAUAAUUGGUGUAUAAGAGGUCAGACUGGGCCUAAUAUGUAUAUAAUUGGUGUAUAAGAGGUCAGACUGGGCCUAAUAUGUAUAUAAUUGGUGUAUAAGAGGUCAGACUGGGCCUAAUAUGUAUAUAAUUGGUGUAUAAGAGGUCAGACUGGGCCUAAUAUGUAUAUAAUUGGUGUAUAAGAGGUCAGACUGGGCCUAAUAUGUAUAUAAUUGGUGUAUAAGAGGUCAGACUGGGCCUAAUAUGUAUAUAAUUGGUGUAUAAGAGGUCAGACUGGGCCUAAUAUGUAUAUAAUUGGUGUAUAAGAGGUCAGACUGGGCCUAAUAUGUAUAUAAUUGGUGUAUAAGAGGUCAGACUGGGCCUAAUAUGUA